rnacentral:rRNA from 1 species
UGAGCAAUCUGCCCUUCUCAUCGGAAUAAGCGUUGGAAACGACGUCUAAUGCCGAAUACGACCUCCUUUCGCAUGAUCGGAGGUGGAAAGCUCCGGCGGAGAAGGAUGAGCUCGCGGCCUAUCAGCUAGUUGGUGUGGGUAAUGGCCCACCAAGGCGACGACGGGUAGCCGGCCUGAGAGGGUGACCGACCACACUGGGACUGAGACACGGCCCAGACUCCGUACGGGAGCA